CUAUAAAAUCAAAUGGAAAUGCACUGCAAGGCCUUCAGCAUCUGAAAAGAAAAAAAAAAAAGAUUCAUGCUUUGGAAAUUCGUAGUGUACAACAACAAGAUCCACUGUGGUACCAAUAGCACAGUAAUACAAUGAAGACUGCGAACAAAAUCAGCAAUAGAAGUAGAGGCCACCAAAUAAACACACUCCUCCUUUUGGGUGCCAUUGCUGCAGAAUGGAAUAUUCACCUUGUUUUGCAUUCACUGUCACAAUGCAGCAUCGCUAACUGCUGAUGGGAUACAUCAACAAAGGUUUCGGAAUUCUUGCUGAUCAACAGGGAGCCACAUUCAUGUUGAAGCACCUUUCAAAUCCUUUGAAAAGGCCUUAGCCUGAUCCCAAGCUGACAGCAGAGCACAGCCAAUCCGAGCUCUGGGGCACAGUCUUCACG